GGGCGUAAGAGCUCGUAGGUGGUUUGUCGCGUUGUUCGUGAAAACUCACAGCUCAACUGUGGGCGUGCGGGCGAUACGGGCAGACUAGAGUACUGCAGGGGAGACUGGAAUUCCUGGUGUAGCGGUGGAAUGCGCAGAUAUCAGGAGGAACACCGGUGGCGAAGGCGGGUCUCUGGGCAGUAACUGACGCUGAGGAGCGAAAGCGUGGGGAGCGAACAGGAUUAGAUACCCUGGUAGUCCACGCCGUAAACGGUGGGUACUAGGUGUGGGUUUCCUUCCUUGGGAUCCGUGCCGUAGCUAACGCAUUAAGUACCCCGCCUGGGGAGUACGGCCGCAAGGCUAAAACUCAAAGAAAUUGACGGGGGCCCGCACAAGCGGCGGAGCAUGUGGAUUAAUUCGAUGCAACGCGAAGAACCUUACCUGGGUUUGACAUGCACAGGACGUGCCUAGAGAUAGGUAUUCCCUUGUGGUCUGUGUGCAGGUGGUGCAUGGCUGUCGUCAGCUCGUGUCGUGAGAUGUUGGGUUAAGUCCCGCAACGAGCGCAACCCUUGUCUCAUGUUGCCAGCACGUAAUGGUGGGGACUCGUGAGAGACUGCCGGGGUCAACUCGGAGGAAGGUGGGGGAUGACGUCAAGUCAUCAUGCCCCUUAUGUCCAGGGCUUCACACAUGCUACAAUGGCCGGUACAAAGGGCUGCGAUGCCGUGAGGUGGAGCGAAUCCUUUAAAGCCGGUCUCAGUUCGGGAUCGGGGUCUGCAACUCGACCCCGUGAAGUCGGAGUCGCUAGUAAUCGCAGAUCAGCAACGCUGCGGUGAAUACGUUCCCGGGCUUGCACUCACCGCCCGUC
rnacentral:rRNA from 1 species